GGAGAGGUCGCAUAGUGGCCGAGUGCGCUUGCUUGGAAAGCAGGUAUAUCCGUAAGGGUAUCGAGGGUUCGAAUCCCUCCCUCUCCG
rfam:Microgenomates (Curtissbacteria) bacterium GW2011_GWA1_40_16 TT84_C0010, whole genome shotgun sequence.